rnacentral:lncRNA from 1 species
UCUAUGAGCAUGCUACUAGAAGAUAACACACGGAGGAAUUUUUGGUGGGUGUUACAGACAUUCCUGCGAUUUAACACUUCUUUGAGUUGCUCGUUGCUCAAAUUCGAGUGCAGAUUCGCGAUCUAAAUCCCCAAAUCCCCUAGUUCACUGCUCCCCAAAAGGUCAGUAAUCAUUCCCAUCUUUCGUUUUAUUUUCGUUCAUAUAAAUGUAUACAGCCGUUCAGUUAGUCUUUUAUCUGUUGCUUGAUUGAAUCUAUGUCGAUUCAAGUCAUGGUGUUCUCUGUUUGCUGUGAUAUGUCCCUUAAAUAUGUUAAAAAAUAGCUAAUAAGAACUGAUGAUAUUUAAAGAAUCCAAUUCGAUCAAUUCGGCAAAUGAUGAAUAGGUGUGUCGUUCUCUUUGUCGUUAUGCUCCGAGAUUCAUGAGAACCUACUGAACUUGUUAGUUUAUUUCGAUAUCUAUGUCAAUAGUUUUUUUAAGAAAACGGAUGAUGAACGUUUAAGGAAGAUGAGACUUUGGUAGUGUGUGUUGAGUUUUUGCCUGUAACUGUGUGUAUAGAAAAGGGCCGAUUAGAUAUUCAAAUACGUAUGUGUUCAUCUUGUUCUAGAAUCUUUAAUUGCUUUUGCAUAUUGAAUUCAAAAUAUGAUUAUGUUUAGUUUUAAUGUACAUAAUUCCUUGGCAUCUGGGAACGAGAGUAAUGUAAGAUUCCUCCCAGGACCCAGAUUGUAUAUUUACUCCCUUUCAAGUAUGCAUUUUUGUUUUUGCUGUCUUGCUUUAUUUUUGUCGAUUAAGCUUAGGAUUGUAUAAACCUUUCAUCUAACCGUUCACACUGUCGCUCCGUUUGAAGAAAUAUAGUUGGGUUUGUCAACUGGAAGCUGGGAUUAACUCUUUAACUUUUCCUCACCCUUCUAAAUGUUCUGCUUGAUGUAGCUUAAAUAAAGUUGUUAACCUGCUUGUCUAAAAAAUCAGAAGAAUACUCCUCCCUCUUACUCAUUCUUAAUCUUUUGAAAUGUAUAGAUAUAAAUUAUUUCCCUAGUUAAUGACCUUUUAGAUUUUAGUAAAACAUCUUCCCCCGGUUUACAUCCCCAUGUGGUUUGCAGGCUAUUGCAUCGGGGGGUUUU